GCGCUGAUAGCUCAGUGGUAGAGCGCAGGAUUGCAGUUACCAAAUCAGUUAUCCCGAGGUCUCGUGUUCGAUCCACGAUCGGCGCU